UGAUGGACUGAAAGGGUCUGGAGAGCUUCUUGACCGCUAAUUUUAGGCCGCUCUUCACAUCGUAAGCAGAACUGUCGGAAAACAAACAUUAGCGCACUGCCCUUGGCAAUCAUUUGCAGAAGGCUGGAAAAAAAAAAAUACCCGAGCGAGAUCAACAGGAAACGUCAUGUCACUGUCUCCACACUAAAAACGUCACUGCUGCCGCGAGCUAACCGACCAGAUUGUGGAAACCACAUUGCACAUUAUUAUCGAAGUCCGAGAUUAAUAAAUGCAAUCGUAAUAAUGAGGCAAGAAAUUACAUUUCCUUUGAUUGAGGAGAAAAUGAUCAAUUCAUUGUUUUGGUUUUGAAAGUGUCACAGUGGAAUAGCAACAUCUUGGUCACAGUCAAGCUCAAGUGCAGAGUUUGCAUCUCCUUCCCAUGCUUAAGUGCGUUUCUCCCACCGCCAAAGGAAGGGUCAACUAGUUAUUACAAUGUUUACAAGGUGAGUUCAAUAAAAAUACAUGCGAACAUGUAACUGUUUAUGUGGUAUUAGUUCAAGCAACCCGUGUUUAUCGAAUGCUGUGACUUGGAGGAAGAUCAGAACACUUUUUAUGACCAAUUAAUGCAGAAAACCAGGUCAUUCCAAAGGGUUCACAUACUUUUU